rnacentral:lncRNA from 1 species
GAUUAUUGAUAGUUGUGGUGAAUUCUCUAAUGUGCCUCUCAUUGGUACACAAGGAGGAAUUAGCUAUAACCUGUUUGGCUCGUCGUCAAGUUGGGUUCCCUUGAGAGACAAGCCUAAUAACACGUUGUUAGAAGGUCUUUUCUAUCACGAGGGUAAAGUGAUCCUAACACUUUGAAGUAAAAGAUUGUUUGCAUGCUUGGCAUAAUUUGCAUAGGAAAGGAAGAUCCGAGCUUGGUCCACGCAAUUGUGGUAGAUUUGGGAGCUUACACUAUUUGGGUGAAGAAGAGAGCUUUGGAGUUGAAGAUGCCUUAUCCUUGUGAAAGACCUAUGUUAACGGUUGUGGUUGAGCCAUUAACUCUCCCUAAACCAAGAUGUAGAGGAGUUGGAAGACGCGCUCAUCAAGAUGAAGCAAGAGAAGGAUAUGUGGGAAGAGCGUUUCCUAUGCUUUAAGCAAGAAGCUAUGAAGAGUUCAGUUAGAGUAUAACGGAAAAGUGCAUUGAUUGAGCUACUUGAAGACCGAGUAACGAAGAGACAGGAGAGUCAGAGGUUUCAUCUUCUAGCAUGCCUCAGCCGCUCCGUUGCUUGGAAGAAGAUUGUUGACCAGCUUGUCUUGAGAAGACUCAAAUGAAGGCUUCUUUGAGACCGAGAUUCAUCGCAUUCGAAGGAAGUAUGCGCCUUCAGCCAGAUCUUCUGACAUUGUGUUAGGGAUCCUUAGGAUGACUAGUCUCCUUUUCUCUUGUAUCUUUUUAUUUUGGUUUCUGAAAUUGUACUCAGUGUAAUCCUUCCAAUUUAUAUAAAUAAAAAGAAAUUUUUGGUCAUAUCAAAUUAUUGCAAUUGCCAUUUAAAUAUUAUAUAUUUGCAAAUGAUAUAGUAAGUUCCUUGGAAAAUAAAAAUAAUCAAGCAUUGCAUUUCAUGCAUCAUUUGCACAAGCAGGUUUUUGCUAGGUGUCUGAUUGGUGUUCUUCUGUGCUUUAGCCAAGCUGACUCACCGGUACAACAACAGGGCUAAUCAUCCAAGAAUUAUGGAGCACCUUAAGCAAGAGAACAGAGAGUUGAAAGAGGAGAUUGCCCGUCCGACUGCCAUGAUGGAGUCAGUUCUUGCUGCUCAAAGCCAAGCUUCUCCAACGCCUGCAACUCCUCCCGCGAGGAUAGUUAUUUCUGAAGUGGUUACCUCUACCAUGCCAGCUGCCACCGCCCACUUCACACCAAACCUGCCUGCCGGAUUCCCAAUGCCGCCCAAUUUUGUGCCAAAGGGCUUUGCGCCUACCUUUGCUUCCAUGCUGGCAUCUAGCCCGGUCAUAUCUGUGCCACCUCUCUUUGUGCAUACUUUGCCUCGCGUAGAGGACACUAUCUAUCAUUUCGAGUCGUCUGAGGGUCCGGAUGUUUAUGAGAAGAUGGAUGAAAUGAAAGACCAAUUUCUUGAGCUGCGCAAGGAAUUGAAGACGCUGAGAGGUAAAGAUCUGUUUGGGAAGAGUGCUGCUGAAUUGUGCUUGGUACCCAAUGUUAAGAUCCCAGUGAAAUUCAAAGUGCCUGACUUUGAAAAAUACAAGGGAAACUCUUGUCCACUCAGUCAUCUUGUGAUGUAUGCCCGCAAGAUGUCGACUCAAACAGAUAAUGACCAAUUGAUGAUUCACUACUUCCAAGAUAGCCUGACAGGUGCUGCACUCCGUUGGUAUAUGGGGUUAGAUAAUGCAAGCAUCCUUACUUUCAAUGAUCUAGGAGAGGCUUUCGUGAAACAGUAUAAGUACAACGUGGAUAUGGUGCCAGACAGAGACCAGUUAAGGUCUAUGUCUCAGACAGAUAAGGAGACAUUCAAGGAGUAUGUGCAUCGAUGGAGGGAGUUGGCUGCCCAGAUCACUUCUCCUUUGGAGGAGAAAGAGAUGACAAAAAUCUUUCUGAAAACCCUGAGUUCAUUUUACUAUGAGCGCAUGAUCGCCAGUGCCCCCAAUGACUUUACCGAAAUGGUAAAUAUGGGGAUGAGACUUGAGGAAGGGGUCCGUGAAGGACGAUUGUCAAAAGAUGAGGCGUCGACAAGCAAGAAGUAUGGCAGUAGUUUCAGCAAGAGGAAAGAUAGUGAAACCAAUGCAAUUUCCAGUGGGAGGCAGAGGAAGCCUCAAGCAAGAAGAAAUCCACCACCCCGUCAACAUCAUCAUCAUCAAGUAUCUUCCAUUAUUCUAGUAUUUUCUAAUCAGCAAACAACUCCAAUUCAGCAACAACCACAACAUCAACAUCAACGUCAACAACAACAACCGCAACAAAGAACGAACACCUACAACAACAACAAUAUCAACAACCAGCAUCAGCAGAACUUCGAGAGGAAGAAGGUCUCUUUUGACCCGAUUCCAAUGUCAUACGAAGAAUUAUAUCCAUCCCUGGUCCUCAAAAACUUGAUUCAACCGAGGAACCCACCGCAGAUCCCAAAGCCACUUCCUUGGUGGUAUAAACCUGAACUUUGUUGUGCUUUUCAUCAGGGUGCACCUGGGCAUGAUAUUGAAAACUGUUAUCCAUUGAAGUAUGAGGUGAAAAAGCUUAUGAAGAGUGGUAUGGUGUCCUUUGAGGACCGCGCGCCUAAUGUGAAAGCUAAUCCUUUGCCCGCUCAUGGGAACUCUUCUAUGAAUAUGGUGGAAGGUUGUCCCGCUGAAUUCAAGGUUUUUGAUGUCCGGUUUAUCUGAAGAUCUUUGGUGCAGAUGCACAAAGAUAUUUGUUUGGUGAGUGACUGUGAACAUGACCAUGAUGGUUGUGUUGUUUGUAGUGUGAACCCAAGGGGGUGUGAUUUGGUGAAAAGGGACAUCCGACGUCUGAUGGACAAAGGCAUGAUUCAGAUUGUUCAAUCCUGUCAUGUGGAUGACAAUGUCAAUGUCAUAGUGCCUGUUUUCAAGCAACAAGAGUGGUUGGUGAUUCAGUAUGAUAGCAGCAGCAAUAAGAACGUCAGCAAUAGAUCAGUUUCGUUGUUGGUAAUACGGUUAGCGGGCCCAGUCCCGUAUGCAUCUGAUAAGGCUAUACCGUAUCAGUAUAAUGCUAUAAUGUUAGAGAAUGGUCAAGAGGUCCCGUGGCCUAUGACCAGUUCAGUGGUGAGCAUUGCUGAUGUAACGAAGGUGACCCGCAGUGGUCGAGUAUUUGGACCGGUGUUCCCGGAAAAUAAAGAAGAAAUGAUUGUUGGUAAGAAGGCGGAGAUACCUAAUGUAGACCCAGUUGGUUUUUUAAAGGAUAAGUCUGGUGAAUCCAACAAUUUGAAAGCCAAUGAUGAUGAUGAGGUACUCCGACUGAUUAAGAGGAGUGAAUUUAAUGUGGUUGAGCAGUUGCUCCAGACUCCCUCCAAGAUUUUCGUGUUGUCUCUGCUUUUAAAUUCUGAAGCGCACAUAGAAGCACUCCAGAGAGUUCUUGAACAGGCAUAUGUGGAGCAGGAUGUUACUGUGGAUUAAUUUGAUCACAUUGUGGCUAACAUCACUUCAUGCAAUAAUUUGAGCUUUUGCGAUGAAGAACUCCCUGAGGAGGGAAGAAAUCACAACCUAGCUUUGCAUAUUUCAAUGAAUUAUAAAGAAGAUGCUUUGUCAAAUGUGCUAGUUGACACCUGUUCGUCACUCAAUGUGCUUCCGAAGUCAACAUUAUCAAAGUUAUCUUACCAAGGAGCUCCCAUGAGGUAUAGUGGAGUGAUUGUCAAAGCCUUUGAUGGCUCUCGCAAGAUGGUUAUUGGUGAAGUGGACCUUUCAGUUAAGAUAGGUCCGAGUGAUUUUCAAAUUACUUUUCAAGUAAUGGAUAUCCACCCGGCCUACAACUAUUUACUUGGAAGGCCAUGGAUUCACGAGGCAGGGGUUGUUACCUCAACUCUGCACCAGAAGCUCAAAUUUGUCAAGAAUGGCAAGCUAGUGAUUAUGGGAGGAGAGAAAGCACUGUUGGUUAUCCAUUUGUCAUCUUUCUCGUAUAUGGAAGCUAAGGAGGAGGUUGGAACUCUGUUCCAAGCCUUAUCUAUUGCUGCUGAGAAGAGAGUUGGGGCACCUAUGUCCUCUCUGAAAGAUGCUCAGAAGAUUGUUGAAGAAGGUCCUGUUGAUCAGUGGGGGCAAGUGGUAGAGGUCUCCGAGAAUAAAGGUAGAAUUGGUUUAGGGUUCCAGAAGGGCUCGUUAGUUGUUAGAUCUGAAGAGAUGCAACUUAGCUUCCAUAGUGGAGGGUUCAUUCAUGGCAAUGAACAACACUCAGCUGUUGUGCUAGAGGAUAAUGAAGAGGAAGACUGCACCAACUUUGUGACGCAUGGAGGGACAUGCAACAAUUGGACUGCCAUUGAUAUUCCGGUUAUUUUGCAUCGAUCUAAGUAAUUGCUUUAUUUUUUAAAAAAAAAAUCCUUCUCCUAUGCCUAAGGGAGAAGCGAACAUUGUUUGGGCAUUUUAAAUUGAUCAUUAAUAAAAUUAAUUCUAUUCAUCCACAUAUUUGAUGUUUAUUUUUACUUUUUGCUUAUUUCUGAAAAUGGUAAUCACAAAAAACAUAAAUAAACAAUAUAGUUGUCCAUCUGCAUAAUAUUUGGUCACAAAUUCACUUCUCUAAAAUCAAAAUAUCAAAUCAUUAAAAAACAUAAAUAAACAAUAUAGUUGUCCAUCUGCAUAAUAUUUGGUCACAAAUUCACUUCUCUAAAAUCAAAAUAUCAAAUCAUUAUGCAGGUUGGUUCCUAACCCCAUUGAAUACAAUGAUCCUCCUCCUUCUCCAAAUUUUGAGUUCCCUGUGUUUGAAGCCGAGGAGGAAAGUGACGUAGAGGUGAGUGAGGAAUUGUCUCGUCUUCUUGAGCAAGAUGAAAAGAUUAUUCAGCCAUUUGAAGAGCAGAUUGAGCUAGUCAACUUGGAUUCCGAGGAUGAUGUGAAGGAAGUCAAGAUUGGGUCUUGACUGUGUCUAGAUGCUAAGAAGGGGUUGAUCGAUCUUCUUCGAGAGUAUUCAAAUGUGUUUGCUUGGUCCUAUCAAGACAUGCCUGGGUUGGAUUCUGAGAUUGUGGAGCAUAGAUUUCCGUUGAAGCCAGAAUGCCAGCUUGUCAAGCAGACAUUGAGAAGAACGCAUCCUGAUACGGCUGUGAAGAUUAAAGAGGAAGUUCAAAAGCAGAUUGAUGUCGGUUUCCUUGUGACUGCUGAGUAUCCACAAUGGGUGGCCAAUAUUGUGCUUGUGCUGAAGAAAGAUGAAAAAGUCCACAUGUGUGUUGACUAUAGAGAUUUAAAUAAAUCCAGUCCGAAAGAUGAUUUCCCUCUGCCCCACAUUUAUAUGUUGGUAGACAAUACUGCUAAAUUCAAAGUCUUUUCGUUUAUGGAUGGAUUUUCCGGAUAUAAUCAGAUUAAGAUGGCACCCGAGGAUAUGGAGAAGACCACAUUCAUUACACCCUGGGAAAUUCUGUUAUAGAGUGAUGCCUUUCAGUUUAAAGAAUGUUGGUGCGGCUUACCAGAGAGUAAUGACCACUCUUUUUCAUGAUAUGAUGCAUAAAGGGAUUGAAGUAUAUGUCGAUGACAUGAUUGCAAAAUCAAUUGAUGAAGGGAACAUGUUGAGAAUUUGUUGAAGCUAUUCCAGCGUUUGAGGAAGUAUAAACUCCACUUGAAUCCUAAAUAGUGUACUUUUGGUGUUCGUUCUGGUAAGUUGUUGGGCUUUAUUGUCAGCGAGAAGGGUAUUGAAGUUGAUCCUGCCAAGGUCAAAGCAAUACAAGAGAUGCCUACGCCCAAAACUGAGAAGCAAGUCAGAGUUUUUCUCGGCCGUUUGAAUUAUAUUUCCAUAUUCAUUUCCCACAUGACUGCCACAUGUGCGCCUAUAUUCAAGCUUCUUCGGAAAGAUCAGUCUUGUGAAUGGACCGAAGACUUCCAGAAACCAUUUGAUAGUAUCAGGGAAUAUCUGCUUGAACCUCCUAUUUUGUCUCCCCCUGUUGAAGGAAGACCGUUGAUCAUGUAUUUGACUGUGCUCAAAGAUAGUAUGGGUUGUGUUCUUGGUCAACAAGAUGAGACUGGGAAGAAAGAAUCUGCAAUUUAUUACCUCAGUAAGAAGUUCACCGAUUGUGAGACUCAGUAUUCUAUGCUCGAGAAAACUUGUCGCGCAUUGGCUUGGGCUGCUAAGCGUCUGCGUCAAUAUAUGCUAAAUCAUACCACUUGGUUGAUAUCCAAAAUGGAUCCAAUCAAGUAUAUAUUUGAGAAGCCUGCUUUAACUAGGAGGAUUGCCUGUUGGCAGAUAUUGUUAUCAGAGUAUGAUAUCGAAUACCGAUCUCAGAAAGCGAUCAAAGGUAGUAUCUUGGCUGACCAUUUGGCUCACCAACCAAUUGAAGAUUACCAGUCAGUGCAAUAUGACUUUCUUGAUGAAGAGAUUUUGUACUUGAAAAUGAAAGAUUGUGAUGAACCAUUGCUAGAAGAAGGGCCAGAACCUGGUUCCCGUUGGGGAAUGAUAUUUGAUGGAGCUGUUAAUCAAUAUGGAAAUGGCAUCGGGGUAGUGAUUAUUACUCCUCAAGGCACGUAUUUACCAUUUACAGCUAGAUUGACUUUCAAGUGUACAAACAACAUGGCCGAAUAUGAAGCUUGCAUUAUGGGGCUUGAAGAGGCCAUGAAUCUCAUAAUCAAAUAUUUGGAUGUCUUCGGUGAUUCGGCUUUGGUUGUGAAUCAGAUCAAAGGAGAAUGGGAGACAAAUCAACCCGGUUUGAUACCAUAUAGAGAUUAUGCGAGGAGGAUUUAAACUUUAUUUACCAAGGUUGAAUUUCAUCAUAUUCCUCGAGAUGAGAACCGGAUGACAGAUGCUCUUGCAACGUUGGCAUCAAUGAUUGUAGUGAAGUAUUGGACUGAAGUUCCCAAUUUGUCUGUGAUGCAUCUUGAUAGGCCAUCUCAUGUGUUCACCAUUGAGGAGAUCAAAGAUGAGAAGCCGUGGUAUUACGACAUCAAGCGUUUCCUCCAAAGUCAGAUUUACCCACCUAAGGCAUCUUUGAAAGAUAAGAAGACUUUGAGAAGAUUAGCCAGUAAUUUCUACUUGAAUGGUGAUAUACUGUACAAGAGAAAUUUUGACAUGGUUCUACUCAGAUGCGUGGAUAGACACGACGUAGACUUGUUAAUGACCGAAGUGCACGAAGGUUCCUUUGGUACUCAUUCUAAUGGGCAUGCAAUGGCAAAGAAGAUGUUGCGAGCAAGUUACUAUUGGUUGACAAUGGAAUCCGACUGUUGAAAAUUUGUGAAGAAAUUCCACAAGUGUCAAAUAUAUGCUGAUAAGAUUAAUGUUCCUCUGACACUAUUGAAUGUUAUCUCUUUCCCCAUGGCCCUUCUCCAUGUGGAGAAUUGAUAUGAUUGGGAUGAUUGAGCCUAAAGCUUCGAAUGGACAUCGUUUCAUUUUAGUGGCAAUCGACUACUUCACAAAAUGGGUUGAAGCGGCAUCGUAUGCAAAUGUGACCAAGCAAGUUGUUGUAAGGUUUAUCAAGAAUCAGAUCAUAUGUCAUUAUGGUGUGCCAAGUAAGAUCAUUACUGAUAAUGGAUCGUACUUGAAUAAUAAUAUGGUGGAAGCUCUUUGCAAAGACUUCAAGAUUGCACAUCAUAAUUCUUCUCCCUACAGACCCAAGAUGAAUGGGGCUGUUGAAGCUGUGAACAAGAACAUCAAGAAGAUUAUUCAGAAGAUGGUUGUCACAUAUAAGGAUUGACAUGAGAUGCUCCCAUUUGCUUUACAUGGGUAUGAUACAUCCGUCCACACUUCAACAGGGGCAACCCCUUUCUCUCUUUUGUAUGGUAUGGAAGCAGUGCUCCCCGUAGAGGUUGAGAUUCCUUCAUUGCGUGUGCUCAGGGAAGCCAAGUUGACUGAGGUUGAAUGGUGUCAGACCAGGUUUGACCAGUUGAAUUUAAUUGAAGAGAAGAUAUUGACUGCCAUGUGUCAUGGUCAGUUAUAUCAGUAGAGAAUGAAGAAAGCUUUUGAUAAGAAGGUCAAACCUCGAGUGUUUAGAGAAGGAGACCUUAUGCUCAAGAAGAUUUUGACGUUCAAGCCAGAUUCCAAAGGAAAAUGGGCUCCCAAUUAUGAAGGCCCAUAUGUUGUUAAGAGAGCCUUUUCAGGUGGUACUUUGAUUCUUACGACUAUGGAUGGUGAAGAGUUCACUCGUCCCGUGAACGCAGAUGCAGUCAAGAAAUACUUCGCCUAAAAAAUAAAAGAACAACUCGCUAAGUUGAAAACCCGAAAGGGCGGCUUAGGCAAAAAUGAGCGUCUCGGUGGAUUGAAAACCCGAAAAGGCGAUCCAGGCAAAAAUUAGAGACAUAAAAUAGAAGAAUUUCCCGAUAAGUUGAGUACCCCACAUUGGGGCAACUUAUGCAAAAAUUAGGGAUUAUGGCAAGUAACUACAUUAUGCUAAUCUUCAGUGAUUUUUGAAGACUUGUUUGAGCACAAGUGUUGACAUCAGUUCAUCACCCCAGCAACGGUCAAAAGCACAGUGGAUAUCAAGAUUUGGUCGAAGGAUUAAGGAUCUUUUGUAUUCAAUGUAACCUUUUCCAUGUAAAUUACCAUUUUCAACUUUGUAAAAUCUAUGGAGACUUGUCAUUUACAGACUACCAUCCUAUUAAAUAAAGUUGAGCCUUUAUCCAAAUUAUUUCUGCUCUUAUUUACUUCAGCCAAUAGUGUUAAAUUUUAUUAUGAUCAUUUUGAAAUUAAAUUUUUAAAUCAAAAUCAAGUUUUCUUUAAAAUAUAAAAGCAAGAACUUUUCCAAAGCAAGUAACAGUAAUAUCAACAGCAUUUUGAUGGACAGCAAGUCCUUAAGUCUGAAGCAUCGGAGGUUCCCCAAGCAGUAACUCUUCGGGUAUCCCUGGACGUUUGUGUUGAUUCAGUUCCUUGGCAUAUUGUUAUCCCCAGUGGAACUACUUUCUUUAUCCCCAGCUAAGUUGGUUGAUUCAGAUACCCUAUGGCGUGUCCUUGUACCCAAUAGAGUUUCUACCUUCUCCAGCAAAGUUUCGGUGUUCCCCAGCGGAGUUCAUAUUUCCUCAGCAGAUGGAUCUUCAUCAAGAGAUAUUUGAUGUUUCCCCAAUAUACCUCUUUGGUGUCCCCACCAAUCGUUGUAUCUUUGCUCCUAGUCAUAGUUUCCUCCUGGUUUUUGAGCAGCUUUUUUUGAUUUGUUUUCUCUGUAGGAUUGUCUCCCAUUUUUAUGGUGUUGACCUAAAAUUCCAUACAGAGUUGGUUGUUCUCUCCUCAGCAGAUCUCCUCCUUCCCCAGUUAGGGUUGAGCCCUUGGGAUGUCGAUCUCUCUGUUCUCCAGCAAUUUGUCUCCAUAUUUUGGUGGAUUCACCGAGGAUUGUACCGGUGGUUCAAUUUCUUUGUGACACCUCUGUAUCCUUCGUGAUCGUUUUGUCAACAUAAUCAUCAUAUAUACAUAUACAUAUACAUUCAUAUAAUUUUGUGAUUUACAUAUCCUGCAUCUCCAUCUUUGAUUUGUUUGAGAUUCUCACUCUCUGUUAUGGUGGUACUUUAUCCCCAUACCAAAUCUGGUGUAUGUCCUCUCUCAAAUUGUAGAGUGUUAGCCCCUUAAGCAGAAAGACUUUAACCUUUCUAUGUUUCCCCACUGAGUUUGUUUCCUCGUGAAUGGUUGUUAUUUCAGUUUCCUCCCCAGUAAAUUUGCUGGAUGGAAUCACUCCCCUUGAGUUAUGUCCUCAUUGGGUUGAGUUUUAAUCGAUUAUUUUCUUUCUAGCUCUUACCUAGUUAGAUAUUUUGGUCCCCUAAGAGUCUAUUACCCAGUAAUUGGUAAUAUUCUUCUUAGUUUGCAGUUUGUUACUUUUCGCCCAAUACACAGCAAAAGUACCCUUUUUCUCUCCAGUAGAGUCCUCUGGAAGUAUAUCCUUGAUAUGUUCAUCCUAACCGGUGACGAAUAUCUUUCUUUUUUCCCCCGCAGGAGUCUAUCCUUGAUAUGUUCACUCUAACCAGUGACGGAUAUUCUCUUCUUUGGGAUUUUAUCCAGUAAAAAGGUAGUUGUAAUCCCUAUUUUGUUCCUCAGAGAGUUAAUCCUUGAUAUAUUCAUCUUAACCGAUGACGGAUUUUCUUCUCCUUUUGGUCUUCUACUCAGUAACCGGUAGUUGUAAAUCCUACUUUUUCCCCUUGUACAGAGUUAAUCCUUGAUAUGUUCACUCUAACCGGUGAUGGAUUUUAUCUUCUGUGGUUUUCUAUCCAGUAACUGAUAGAUGUAAUCCCUAUUUUAUCUCCUCAUAGAGUCUAUCCUUGAUACGUUCAUCUUAACCGGUGAAAUUUUUUCUCUUUGAUUGUUAUCCUAUCCAGUAACUGAUAGAUGUAAUUCCUACUUUUGUUCCCCUUUUCAGAGUCUAUCCUUGAUAUGUUCAUCCUAACUAAUGACGGAUUUUCUCUUUGAUUUGGUCUUCUACCCAGUAACCGGUAGUUGUAAAUCCUACGUUGUCCCCUCGUAGAGUUGAUCCUUGAUAUGCUCAUCCUAACCGGUGACAGAUUCUCUCUCCGACGGUUUUCAAUCCAGAUUUCGAUAUAUGUAAUUCCCCUUUAUUCAGUUGGUAUAUCCUUGAUAUGUUCAUCCUAACCGAUUACAGAUAUCUUCCUGAACAUCCCCAGGAAAGUCUAUCCUUGAUAUGUUCACUUUAACCGGUGACGGAUUUUCUUCCUUAUUAAGUCUAUCCUUGAUAUGUUCAUCCUAACCGAUGACGGAUAUUCUCAUCCUUGGUCUUCUACCCAGUAACUGGUAGUUGUAAAUCCUAUUUUCUGCAGUUUUUCCCCAGUAAGAUUAUUCUUACCCAAUAACCGAUAAUGAAUACUCCCUCUUGGCAUUUCCUCAGCGAGUCAUCCUUGAUAUGUUCAUCUUAACUGAUGACGGAUGUUUCUCUCAGUCAGAUCUUUAUUAUCUACUUACCUAGUAACAAGUAGUGGAUAAUAGAUUUCUGAUCCUCCUAUGUUGAAGUUUAUUUCUUCCCCAGUGGAGUUGAAUGCGCAUUUCCUUAGUGAAAUCGCUUUUCCCCUGCGCGAGUCGAGUACUUCAGUUUUAUCCUGACCUACUCGUAUCCCCUGCAGAUGUUUUGUUUCCCCGGCUGAGUCUUUCCAUUUUGUGUGGAAUCCCUUGAGUCCCCCAAUAGUUUUAAUUUGUAGCCUGGCCUACGCAUAACUCCUUUUUACCCCCCCCCCCAGAGUCUCUGUCUCCUCAGCGAGUUUUUCCUUACGAAAUGCAUUAUGCUCCUGCGGACUUUUGGUCCCUCUUGGCUGAGUCUUUCCAUUUUGUGUGGAAUCCCUUGAGUCCCCCAAUAGUUUUAAUUUGUAGCCUGGCCUACGCAUAACUCCUUUUUACCCCCCCCCCAGAGUCUCUGUCUCCUCAGCGAGUUUUUCCUUACGAAAUGCAUUAUGCUCCUGCGGACUUUUGGUCCCUCUGAUUUCUUUUUCCUUUGUGGCAAUAUCUCCCCACAAAGCGUUAACCUUUUGCAUUCAUAUCAUAUGCAUCAUGAAGUCUCUUAGGGACCAAAAUUUGUUUCUCUAUGUUGUUAUUUAAGCCCAUUCUACUGAGUCGACAUGAAGAUUUUAACCUUCGCCUCCUCAGUUAGAAUGUCCUUAAAUAGGGGAAGAUGUAAGACCCCAAUUUUGACCCUAAGAUCCCUCAUGCAAUUCCAUCAUAAGCAUUAGCAUUGGGAUCAUGUCUUGACAUCCUCCUUACCCCUCCUUCAUUAGGUUGGUUUUGGAAGAGAUCACCAAGCACUUUGUGAUUAUACCAUACUUGUAUAUUAUCAUUUUACUAACUAAAAUACCAAAAAUAUGUCUUUCCUUUUGUCUAACUCUUUUUGUAGGAAGGGCAUGAUCUCAUUAAUUCAUUGAUCACAUCUAGGGUUUGAGACCCUCAUGAACAAAGAGCACAACCAAGAAUUGAUUCAAUAAUGGUUAUAAUUAUCGCAUAUGAGUCCCAAUGAUCUCUACAUGUUAUAUUGAUCAAGUUUUCUUCAAGAGUUUGAGGAUGAUUUGCCUUGGAAACCCUAGUUUGACUAGGUAUCUUGAGUAACUUCUCCAACAAGCUAUCUCACCAAUUGAUCAAAUUUCUCAAGGGACACUUCAAAAUUCAUAAUCUUAUGCAUAUAUGAUCUAUUUUGACUAGGUAUCUUGAGUAACUUCUCCAACAAGCUAUCUCACCAAUUGAUCAAAUUUCUCAAGGGACACUUCAAAAUUCAUAAUCUUAUGCAUAUAUGAUCUACCAUGAGCCAAGAAAGUCAAGAGAAUUGGAAAUUAGCAAGUUGGUUGAUGGUGGUUGGCCAAAUGAAUUCAUCUGAUCAAAAUUGGGUCUCCCUAGACCCUAUCUCCUACAAUUUUCACCAUAUCAAAAUUAUUCCAAGAGAAAACAUACUCUACAUGACAUUCUAAACAACUUUCAUGUUGAUACCUAGAGCUAUUUUUGCUUGGAAAAUCAUUUUCUAUGAUGAAACAUUAUAGGUCAUUUUGUCUAAACCCUAAUCUGAAAAUUAACUUCCCAAGGCCAUAACUUGCUCAAUUUUUAUGCGAUGAAAUAUUUCCAAGUUUCACAAUUAAAUUCAAUGUGUCUAACUCAACUUUGAUGUUUGGAGUGGGAGCUAAUUCAACUUUUUUGAGCAUGUGAUAUGAGGCUACAUUAUAGGUCACUUUUGACCUAUACCAUUGAUCAAGUGAUUUUUCCAAACUUCAAAAAUGCAUAACUUGGGAGCUAAUUCAACUUUUUUGAGCAUGUGAUAUGAGGCUACAUUAUAGGUCACUUUUGACCUAUACCAUUGAUCAAGUGAUUUUUCCAAACUUCAAAAAUGCAUAACUCUAUCAUUUCAAAUCCACAUGACAUGAAAUUGGUGACCAUUUUUAAUUUCUUUGAGAGAGAUACAACUUUAAUGAAGACACUUUUCUCAUUUGAAGCUCCCAUAAAAAGUUAAGCAAGGUGGAAUAUUGAGACAUAUGGCUUGACACUUAGAAAAUUUUUGAUAUGUCAAAUUUUUCCAAACGUCCACCUCAAAAUUCUCCAAGUUUCAAGCUCCAAAUGAAAAGGUGUUCAACAUCAAACUUGUUCCUCUUGAUCUCACCUUUCCAAAGAGCUCAAAUUCAUUAAUUUUGGACAUGAAAUGCAUAGGUUGCGCAUGGCUUAAACAAGCUGAUAUCAUUUGGCAUGGAUCCAACUUCAAGCAUCAAUGUUCAGUUGCCUUGCAAUCCAAUCAAUCUUCAAAGCAUCUGAUCUUCAAUUUGGACCUUCAAACCAUCAUUGAUAUCAUUUGGCAUGGAUCCAACUUCAAGCAUCAAUGUUCAGUUGCCUUGCAAUCCAAUCAAUCUUCAAAGCAUCUGAUCUUCAAUUUGGACCUUCAAACCAUCAUUUCAUGGGCCUAUGCGCGCUCAUGCAGCAUGGCAUCAUCAUUUGCCAAUUUUGGAAAGUGGAAGUGAGUGUGCAAAUAUCACUUGAUUCACCUAGAAAUGAAGCUCCAUUUGCUCAGAAUUAACACACACAUCGCGCCAGCUUUGAUCCCCCAUUGAAAACCCUUCACUCUCAUAGAAUAAACCUGAUAAAUUCAUUUGAAUUUGAGCUUGAAUCUCCACUAUUCUGGAAUUCAAUUCUCCAGGAAUCCAUUGCUUCUAAACCUUUCCAUUCCUCUCCUGCAAGCAAUUGAAGUGAGUCCAAGCACAAGCCAAAUCAAGACCCAUCGUGUUCAGACCUCCAUUUAAGGUAAUUUGCAGAAAUUUUAAACUCUUCGAUUCUCUCAAUUGAUUGCUUAAUUCCAUUGAUUCCUUGGUUGUCUGAAGUCCUACCAAUGUAGGCAAGAAGAUUGAGUUGCUUUGAGGUCAAAUUGAAGCAACUCAGAUCAUGUACCUCAUUUUUCAAUUCCACAUAUCUCUUAAUAUAUUUGGAAUUGGGGGAAUUGGAGGUCAGAUUCGAGCUCAGUGAUGUUUUUUCUUUAAGAUCAUGUCCCUGUUUCUUGUACCUCAUUUUUCAAUUCCACAUAUCUCUUAAUAUAUUUGGAAUUGGGGGAAUUGGAGGUCAGAUUCGAGCUCAGUGAUGUUUUUUCUUUAAGAUCAUGUCCCUGUUUCUUUUUUUGGUGAUGGUACAUCUUGACCAGUCCGGUGGAGCUCACCGGGGAAGACGAUCGGAGCUCUAGCUCCGGCGAUGAUGUGUCUUGCAUCUGAACCAUAGGAUCCUUAUGCCACGUUCUAAUCUUGAGCGUUGAUGCUGAUUACCAUUUAUGCCACGCGGUUGACUUGGACACAUGUGGAACGCGCAUUUUGGAUCAUCAGAUCUGCCACCUCAAUUAAUGCGGGAGAUCUGAUGGUCCACGUAUUUUUUGAAUUUCUGAUAUUUUGUUUUAAUUGCAUUUUCUUCAAUAAUUCAUAUUAAAUUCAAUAUUGAUCCAAAAAAAUAUGGGACUUUCACCAAAAAAAAUCAAAUAUUUUUCUCUUUCAUAUUCUGAAUUAAAAUUAUUUUUGGAUCAUUAUUAAUAUUUUUCAUGAAUUAAUUGAUUUUGCAUUUGUUUUUAAUUGUUUAAAAAUAUUUUUAAAUGUCCAAAAAUUAUGAAAUCUUUUCUCCAAGGUCCUUUGACCUUGUUUGACUUAUGAUAAACCUCAUGGCCAUUUCUUUGGUGUUUUGAUGAGAUUUUAGGAUUUGGACAAAACAUAUUUGAAUUUAAUGUACUAUUUUAUUAUUUUUAAUUGAAUAAAUGCCAUUUAAAUUAUAUUGACCAUUUGUAUUGAAUUGAUUGGGUUUGAUUGUUUGUUGUUGGGCCUUGGUCAAGGUUGAUUUGACUUUGUCAAAUUAAUAUCAUUGGAUUUAGGGGAUUGAUGGAAUGUACAUUCCAUCUCCAAAAAUGAAUUAAUGAUAUUAAUUUGGUAAAAGUCCUCCUUUGAUCAAUUUGUGAUCUCAUUCAUCCCCUUCCCUCUUCAUCUGAUUCUCCUUCUUCAUUCAUUCAUUUCCAUUUGGCCAAUGACAUCUCAAAGUCCUAAUGCUAGUUGAUUGAAAGAUUAACAUGAGUAUGGAUGAGAUUAGGCCACCCCUUUUGCAUAUUUUUUGUGUGUGGUAUGUUUCAUGAGCAUAGUUCAUAAUACUAUGUCUCCAACAUGUAUUAACACCAAAAGUCUAUUGCCCGACCUCAAAUAGUUGUGACUUCUACAUAAGUCUAAUUACGAUUGCUUAACAUAGCGCUAAAUUUUUGACACAAAAGGCAUAAGCAUUCUAGUUAGUGAGAUUGAAAGUCUCCCCUCUUCCAUGGUAUUGGGUGGAAACUUGGCCUUCUUUCCUUCCUUUGGAAGAUGUUUAGGUUCAAGGAUCCAUACUUGUGGUAAGUGGGUUGAGUGUUCUCCAAAGAAUGUCUUGAAAUGAAAAAUAAAACAAAACUAACCUCUAACUUACUAACUAUUGACUUUUAAUUUCAAGCUUUUAUUUUAAUGCAAUUUACCUUUAGCACUUUAUUUCAUUUGCCAUUGUACAUAUCAUUCUAAUUGUUUAUGUUAAUGCAAUCUCCAUUUUGUCCACUUGGACCAUAUUGUGUGAUAUAUUUUGUUUGUAUAUACUUUGUUUGCUUGUUUGGUCUUUGACCAUUAAUGUACAUAACAAAACAAAAACCCUAAAAAAUUUGUUGUGUGGACUGUUGGCUUGAUCUUGGACAAAUGGACUUAGAAUCUAGGCAACCUCCCUAAGCUAAAGGACUUGGCCAAUGCCAAUUUGUGGAAGAACCAAGUGCUUGCAAUUUGAAAUUCAUUUGAUACAUAUUUGAAGAUCUCUCUAUGAUUUAUCUGCGACAUUGAUCAUUUGUGAAGAUGUUAUUUUGAACCUGUGACUUGUGGAAUUCAUCUGUUGCAUGGGCUAUUUUGAAGAAGAUCAUGAAGUAGAUAAGCUUGGAUGAGGCCAUCUUUAUUUGAUGUCUUUGCUCUUCAAGAUUGAUAUAAUUAUGUAGUUGUGUGUUGCUUAAUUCUAAAAGUCCAAGGGAAUUCUGGGUUUCUAUUGACAUUUUUGUCUAUUGGAUUGCUACUCAUUUGGUCAGAUCUUUUCAACUCUAAAAUUUUAAAUCUUGUGCAUAGGAUAGUCUCUUCAUCUUCUCCCCAUUUCUUUAAUUUCAAAAUCUCUCCCUCCAUUUUCAAAAUCUUCUUUGUGUGAACUACUUUUGUUCUAAACUUUGACCACUUUUGCAAAAGAUAGAAACUUUGGCCUUAUGCCAUUGCAUUUUCAAACUUCUUUCCUUAAAUCAAACUUGUAAAUGAAUUUAACUAUACUUGACUUAAACUUUCAAAAAGACAAAAAAGAACUAACCCAUUCAAAUCAUUUUAGGCCUUUGUGCCUUUCAAACUUAAAUUUUGUUAAAAUCAACACACUCAUUUUGAAAUUUGUAGCACGAACUACGAGGUUUUGAUCCCUCCAUUUUUUAUGUUGGUACGUGGCACAAGACCGAAGUCUUGUCAAAUACAAAAAUAUAAUUAAUGAAUUCUUUUCUCAUCCCCCCAUUCUAUUUGCUUGUAAAUAUCACUUUGUACAAAAUACAUAUGCACACAAAAAGGGCUCCCUAGGAGUACCUAGGACACUUUGGGUGCUAACACCUUCCCUUUGUGUAACCAACCCCCUUACCUGUGAUCUCUGAUUUUUAUUAGUUUUUAUUUGAAAACUUCUUAUUAUUUGGGUUUUGUUCGUACUUUUUCCCUUUUCCCUUGGAAAUAAUAAAAGCGCAGUGGCGACUCUUGUUAAUUGAUCUUUAGCUUUGUCAAUAGCUUAAUGAUCAUGAAUUUCCCGCUAUAGAUAUCCAUCCAGCCUACAGUUGCUUGUUGGGAAGGCCAUGGAUCCAUGAGGCAGGAGCUGUUACUUCAACUUUGCAUCAGAAACUCAAAUUUGUGAAGAAUGGAAAGCUUGUGAUUUUUGGUGGAGAGAAGGCACUGUUGGUUAGCCACCUGUCAUCUUUCUCUUAUGUUGAAACUGAGGAUGAGGUUGGGACUCCGUUCCAAGCCUUAUCUAUUGCUGUUGAAAAUAGAGUUGGGGCACCUAUGUCCUCAUUGAAAGAUGCUAAGAAGAUUGUGGAAGAAGGUAAUGUUGAUCAGUAUGGGCACAUGGUAGAGGUAUCCGAUAACAAAGGCAGAAUUGGUUUGGGGUUCCAACGAGGUUCAACAACUGCAAGGACUGAAGAUAUGCAACUUAGUUUCUAUAGCAGAGGGUUCAUUCAUGGCAAUAAACAACACUUAGCUGAUGUGCUAGAAGUUGACGAAGAGGAAGACUGCACCAAUUUUGUGACGCAUGGAAAGGCUUGCAACAAUUGGACUGCUGUUGAUAUUCCUGUUAUUUUGCAUCAAUCUAAGUAAUUGCUUUUAUAUGUUUUAAAAUCCUUCUAGAGGAAGACUGCACCAAUUUUGUGACGCAUGGAAAGGCUUGCAACAAUUGGACUGCUGUUGAUAUUCCUGUUAUUUUGCAUCAAUCUAAGUAAUUGCUUUUAUAUGUUUUAAAAUCCUUCUCCUAUCCCUUAGGGAGAAGUGAACAUUGUUUGGGCAUUUUCAAAUUGAUCAUUAAUAAAAUUAAUUUUAUUCAUCCACAUCUAUGAUGUCUUGUUUUACUUUUUGCUUUAUUCUGAAAAUGGUAAUCACAAAAAACAUAAAUAAACAAUAAAAUUUUCCAUCUGCAUAAUAUUUUGUCACAAAUUCACUUCUCUAAAAUAAAAAAUAUCAAAUUAUUAUGUAGGUUGGUUCCUAACCCCAUUGAAUACAAUGAUCCUUCUCCUUCUCCAAAUAUUGAAUUCCCUGUGUUUGAAGCCGAGGAGGAAAGUGAUGUAGAAGUGAGUGAUGGAUUAUCUCGUCUUCUUGAGCAAGAUGAAAAGAUCAUUCAACCACUCGAAGAGCAGGUUGAGUUAGUCAACUUGGGUUCCGAGGAUGAUAUGAAGGAAGUCAAGAUUGGGUCUCGAUUGUGUCCAGAUGUCAAGAAAGGGUUGAUUGAUCUUUUUCGAGAGUAUUCAAAUGUGUUUGCUUGAUCCUAUCAAGACAUGUCUGGUUUAGAUUCUGAGAUUGUGGAGCAUAGAUUGCCGUUAAAACCAGAAUGCCCGCCCGUCAAGCAGAAGUUGAGAAGAACGCAUCCUGAUAUGGCUGCAAAGCUCAAAGAGGAAGUGCAGAAGCAAAUUGAUGUUGGUUUCCUUAUAACCACUGAGUAUCCGCAAUGGGUGGCCAAUAUUGUGCCUGUGCCAAAGAAAGAUGGAAAAGUCCGCAUGUGUGUUGACUAUAGAGAUUUGAAUAAAGCCAGUCCAAAAGAUGAUUUCCCUCUGCCACACAUUGAUAUGUUGGUAGACAAUACUGCUAAAUUCAAAGUCUUUUCGUUUAUGGAUGGAUUUUCCGGAUAUAAUCAGAUCAAGAUGGCACCCAAAGAUAUGGAGAAGACCACAUUCAUUACACCUUAGGGAACAUUCUAUUAUAGAGUAAUACCUUUCGGUUUAAAGAAUGCUGGAGCAACUUACCAAAGAGCAAUGACUACUCUCUUUCAUGAUAUGAUGCACAAAGAGAUUGAAGUAUAUGUCGAUGACAUGAUUGCUAAAUAGAUUGAUAAAGAGGAACAUGUUGAGCAUUUGUUGAAGCUAUUUCAGCAUUUGAGGAAGUAUAAACUCCGCUUGAAUCCCAAUAAGUGUACUUUUGGUGUUCGUUCUGGUAUGUUGUUGGGCUUUAUUGUCAGUGAGAAGGGUAUUGAUGUUGAUCCUACCAAGUUCAAAGCAAUACAAGAGAUGCUUGCACCCAAAACUGAGAAGCAAGUCAGAGGUUUUCUCGGCCGCUUGAAUUAUAUUUCCAGAUUCAUUUCACAAAUGUCUGCCACAUGUGCGCCUAUAUUCAAGCUUCUUCAGAAAGAUCAGUCUUGUGAUUGGACCGAAGACUGCCAGAAAGCUUUUGACAGUAUCAAAGAAUAUUUGCUUGAACCUCCGAUUUUGUCUCCACCUGUUGAAGGAAGACCGUUGAUCAUGUAUUUGACUGUGCUUGAAGAUAGUAUAGGUUGUGUUCUUGGUCAGCAAGACGAGAUUGGAAAGAAAUAAUUUGCAAUUUACUACCUCAGGAAGAAGUUCACCGACUGUGAGACUCGGUAUUCUAUGCUUGAGAAGACUUGUUGCACAUUGGAUUGGGCUGAUAAGCGUCUGCGCCAAUAUAUGUUGAAUCAUACCACUUGGUUGAUAUCCAAAAUGGAUCCAAUUUGAGAAGCCUGCUUUAAUCGAGAGAAUUGCUCAUUGACAGAUGUUGUUAUCAGAGUAUGAUAUUGAAUACCGAUCUCAGAAAGCGAUCAAAGGUAGUAUCUUGGAUGACCAUUUGGCUCACCAACCAAUUGAAGAUUACCAGUCAGUACAAUAUGGUUUUCCUGAUGAAGAGAUCUAGUAUUUGAAAAUGAAAGAUUGUGAUGAACCAUUGCUUGAAGAAGGGCUAAAAUCUGGUUCCCGUUGGGGCAUGGUAUUUGAUGGAGUUGUUAAUCAGUAUGGAAAUGGAAUUAGGGAAGAGAUUAUUACUCCUCAAGGCACGCAUCUACCAUUUACAGCUAGAUUGACUUUCAAGUGUACAAACAACAUGGCCGAAUAUGAAGCUUGCAUUAUGGGGCUUGAAGAGGCCAUGGAUCUCAGAAUCAAGUAUUUGGAUGUCUUUGGAGAGUCAGCUUUGGUUGUGAAUCAGAUCAAAGGUGAAUAGGAGACGAAUCAACCCGGUUUAAUAUCAUAUAGAGAUUAUGCGAGGAGGAUUUCAACUUUCUUUACAAAGGUUGAGUUUCAUCAUAUUCCUCGAGAUGAGAAUCGGAUGGCAGAUACUCUUGCAACAUUGGCGUCAAUGAUUAUAGUAAAGUAUUGGAAUGAAGUUCCCAAUUUGUCUAUAAUGCGUCUUGAUAGGCCAACUCAUGUGUUUGUUGUUGAAGAGAUCAAAGACGAUAAGCCGUGGUAUUACGACAUCAAAUGUUUCCUCCAGAGUCAGAUUUACCCGCCUGGGGCAUCUUUGAAAGAUAAGAAGACUUUGAUAAGAUUAGUCGGUAAUUUCUACUUGAAUGGUGAUAUAUUGUACAAGAGAAACUUCGACAUGAUUUUGCUCAGAUGCGUGGAUAGACACGAAGCAGACUUGUUGAUGACUGAAGUGUAUGAAGGUUCCUUUGGUACUCAUUCCAAUGGACAUGCAAUGGCUAAGAAGAUGUUGCGAGCAGGUUACUAUUGGCUGAUAAUGGAAUCUGAUUAUUGCAAGUUUGUGAAGAAAUGCCACAAGUGUCAAAUUUAGGCUGAUAAGAUUCAUAUUCCUCCGACACUAUUGAAUGUUAUCUCUUCCCCAUGGCCCUUCUCCAUGUCGGGAAUUGAUAUGAUUGGGAUGGUUAAGCCCAAAGCUUUGAAUGGACAUCAUUUCAUUUUGGUGGCAAUUGACUACUUCACAAAAUGGGUUGAAGCGGCAUCGUAUGCAAAUGUAACCAAGCAAGUUGUUGUAAGGUUUAUCAAGAAUCAGAUCAUAUGCCGUUAUGGUGUGUCAAGUAAGAUCAUUACUGAUAAUGGAUCGAACUUGAAUAAAAAUAUGGUGGAAGCUCUUUGCAAAGACUUUAAGAUUGCACACCAUAAUUCUUCUCCCUACAGACCUAAGAUGAAUGGGGAUGUUGAAGCUGCGAACAAGAACAUUAAGAAGAUUAUCCAGAAGAUGGUUGUCACAUACAAGGAUUGGCAUGAGAUGCUCCCGUUUGCUUUGCAUGGGUAUCAUACAUCCGUUCGAACUUCAAUAGGGGAAACCCCUUAUUCUCUUGUAUAUGGCAUGGAAGCAGUGCUCCCCGUAGAAGUUGAGAUUCCUUCAUUACGCGUGCUCAUGGAAGCCAAGUUGACUGAGGCUGAAUGGUGUCAGACCAGGUUUGACCAGCUGAAUUUAAUUGAAGAGAAGAGAUUAACUACCAUGUGUCAGGGUCAGUUAUAUCAGCAAAGGAUGAAGAAAGCUUUCGAUAAGAAGGUCAGACCUCGUGUGCUUAGAGAAGGUGACCUUGUGCUCAAAAAGAUUUUAUCGUUCAAACUAGAUUCUAGGGGAAAAUGCACUCCUAAUUAUGAAUGCCCAUAUGGUGCUAAGAGAGCCUUUUCAGGCGGUGCUUUGAUUCUUACAACUAUGUAUGGGGAAGAGUUCACUCGUCCUGUGAACACAGAUGCAGUCAAGAAAUACUUCGCCUAAAAAGAAAAGAACAAAUCGCUAAGUUGAAAACCCGAAAGGGUGGCUUAGGAAAAAAAGGAGCGUCUCGGUGGAUUGAAAACCCGAAAGGGCGAUCCAGGCAAAAAUUAGACACAUAAAAACAGAAAUUUCGCGAUAAGUUGAGUACCCCAUCUUGGGCUAACUUAUGCAAAAAUUAGGGAUUAUGGCAAGUAACUGCAGUCUACUGUUCAUCCAAUUUUGGAAAGACUUUAUUGAGCAAAAGGGUUGACGUCAAUUCAUCAUCCCAGCAGCGGUCAAGAGCACAGUGGAUAUCAAAGGAUUGGUAGAAGGAGUAAGGAUCAUUUGUAUUCAAUGUAGCCCUUUACCAUGUAAAUUACCAUUUUCAACUUUGUAAAAAUCUAUGGAGUCUUAUCAUUUACGGACUACCAUCCCAUUAAAUAAAGUUGAGCUUUUACCCAAUUGUUUCUACUCUUAUUUACUUCAGCCAAUAGUUUAAAUUUUAUUAUGAUCAUUUUGGAAAUUUAAAUUUUUUAAUCAAAAUCUUUUUUCUUAAAACAUAUAAAAACAAGAAAUUUUCAAAGCAAAUUAAAAGGAAGUAUCAACAGCACUUCAAGAGCAGCAAGUCCUUAAGUGCUAAGCAUCAGAGGUUCCCUAAGCAGUUAGCCCUUCGGGUAUCCCUAGUUGUUUGUCUUGAUCUGGUUCCGUUGUGAAGUGUUUGUUCCUUAGCGAAGUUCCGAUGCUUUUCCCCGGCUAAGUUGGUUGAUUCAGUACUUUGCGGCGUGUUAUUUCCUCGGUAGUAUUUUUGUAUUCCCCAACAGGGUUCACGUUUCUUCAGUAGAGUAAGAUGUUUUCCCCAGUAGAUCGCAUUGGUUUCCCCAUCAGUCGCCAUCCGACUCGCUCCUAGUCAGAGUUUCCUUCUGGUUUCUGAACUCAAUAAUUUUGCCUCUCCUCAGCAGAUCUCCUCCCUCGGCUAGAUUUGAGCCUUUGGUUUAUGAUUUCUCUGUUCUACAGCACUUGUCUCCCUCUUUUUGUGGAAUGACCGAGGAUUGUACCGAUGAUUCAAGUUCUUUGCGACACCUUUGUAUCCUUCGUGGUCGUUUUGUCAGCAUAAUCAUCAUAUACAUAUACAUAUACAUUCAAAUGAUUACAUAAUUGCGUAUUGGCACCAUCAUAUUUGUUUGAUCUGUCGAUUUGAAAUUCUCAUUCUUUGUAUGUCAUUACUUUAUCCCCAUACGAACCUUGGUGUCAGUCCUCUCUCAAUUGUAGAGUGUCAGCCCCUUAGGCAGAAAGACUUUAACCUUUCUCCUCUUCCCCACUGAGUUGUUUCCUCGUGGAUGAUUACUAUUUCAGUUUCCUCCCCAGUUAUUUAUCUGGAUGGAACCACUCCCCUUGAGUUAUGUCCUCAUUGGGUUGAGUCUUGAUUGACUGUUUCUUUCUAGAUCAUGCCUAGAUAGAUGCUUUGAGUCUCUUAAGAGAUUAUUACCCAGUAACUGGUAAUAUUCUUCUUAGUUUGCAGUUUGUUACUUCCUUCCCAAUACCUGGCAAAAAUACCUUUGUUUUCCCAGCAGUGGAGUUCCUAGUGGAUUCAUUUGUUUCUGAUUCCCCAGGAAGUAUAUCUUUGAUAUGUUCAUUCUAACCGAUGACGGAUAUACUUCUCCCCAUUGCCUGAGUUUAUCCUUGAUAUGUUCAUCCUAACCGAUGAUGGAUAUUCUUGACCUUGGUGUUCUACCCAGUAAAAAUGUAGUUGUAAUCCCUAUCCUUGUUCCCCAGAGAUUUAAUCCUUGAUAUGUUCAUCCUAACCGAUGACAGGUUUCCUUCUCUUUGUGGUAUUCUACCCAGUAACUGGUAGUUGUAAACUCUAUUUUUCCCGCAGAGUCUAUCCUUGAUAUGUUCAUCCUAACCGGUGAUGGAUUUUCUCUUCGAUUGUAUUCUACCCAGUAACUAAUAGAUGUAAUUCCUAUUUUUCCUCCCGUCUCAGAGUCUAUCCUUGAUAUGUUCAUCUUAACCGGUGACGGAUUGUCUCUUUGAUGGUCUUCUAUCCAGCUUUCGAUAGAUAUAAUUCCUACUUUUUGUUCAGUUGGUUUAUCCUUGAUAUGUUCAUCUUAACCGAUGACGGAUAUCCUCCUUGACGAUCCCAGGCGAGUCUAUCCUUGAUAUAUUCAUCUUAACCGAUGAAGGAUUUUAUUCCCUGUUGAGUUUAUCCUUGAUAUGUUCAUCCUAACCGAUGACAGAUAUUCUCACCCUUGGUAUUCUGUCCAGUAACUAGUAGUUGUAAAUCCUAUUUUCUGCAGUUUUCCCCAGCAAGGUUGUUCUUACCCAGUAACCGGUAAUGAAUACUCCCUCAUGGCUUUUCCCAGCGAGUCAUCCUUGAUAUGCUCAUCCUAACCGAUGAUGGAUGUCCUUUCUGUCAGAUCUUUAUUAUCUCCUCACCCAGUAACAGGUAGUAGAUAGUAGAUUUAUGCUCCUCCUGUGUUGAAGUUUAUCUCUUCCCAGUUGAGUUGAGUGCGUUUUUCCUUAAUGAAAUCGCUUUUCCUGCAUGAUUCAAGUACUUCAGUUUUAUCCUGACUUACUCGUAUCCCCUGCAGAUGUUGUUGUUUCCCCGGCUGAGUCUUUCCAUGUUUGUAUGGAAUUCCUCGAGUCCCCCAAUAGUUUUAAGUCGUAGCCUCGCCUACGCAUAACUUGUAUUUCCCCCCAGAGUCUUUGUUUCCCCAGUGAGUUUUCCUUACGGAAUAUGUUAUACUCCUGCAGAUUUUUGGUCUCUCUGAUUUCUUUUCCUUUGUGGUAAUAUUUCCCCACAGAGCAUUAACUUUUACAUUCAUAUCAUAUGCAUCAUGAGGACUCUUAGGGACCAAAAUUUGUUUUUAUGUGUUGUUAUUUAAGCCCAUUCUACUGAAUCGAGCCAAAGAUUUUAACCUUCACCUCCUCAGUUAGAAUGUCCUUAAAUAGGGGCAGCUGUAAGACCCCAACUUUGACCCUAAGAUCCCUCAUGCAAUUUCAUCAUAAGCAUUAGCAUUAGGAUCAUACCUUGGCAUUCUCCUUACCCCUUUUUCAUUGGGUUUGUUUUGGGAGAGAUCACCAAGCACUUUGUGAUUGUAUCAUACUUGUAUAUUAUCCAUUUACUAACCAAAAUACCAAAAUAUGUCUUUGCAUUUGCCUAAAUCUUUUGUAGGUAGGGCAUGAUCUUCAUUGAUCUAUCAAGUUCAUAUCUAGGGUUUAAGACCCUCAUGACAAAGAGCAAAACCAUGAAUUGAUCCAAGAGUGGUUAUGAGCAUCAUAUAUGAGUUCCAUUUAUUCCUACAUGUUAUAUGGAUCAAAUUUUCUUCAAGAGUUUGAGGGUGAUUUGUCUUGGAAACCCUAGUUUGACUGGGUAUCUUGAGUAACUUCUUCAACAAGUUAUCUUACCAUUUGAUCAAAUAUUUCAAGUUAUAAUUCAAAUUUCAUCAUAUUAUUCAUAUAUUAUCUCCCAUGAGUCCCAAAAGUCGAGAGAAUUGCAAGCUAGCAAGUUGGUUGAUGGUGGUUGGCCAGAUGGAUUCAUCUAUCAAAACUGGGUCUCCCUAGACCCUAUAUCCUAUAAUUUUCACCAUAUGAAAAUGAUUCCAAGAUCAAAAUUACUCUAAAUUACAUUACAAACAACUUUCAUGUUGAUACCUAGAGCUAGUUUUUCUUGGAAAAUCAUUUUCUAUGUGGAAACGUUACAGGUCAUUUUGUCUAAACCCUAAUUUGAAAGUAAACUUCCCAAGGCCAUAACUUGAUCUAUUUUUAUAAUAUGAAAGAUUUCCAAGUUGCACAAUCAAAUUCAAUAUGUAUAAUUCAACUUUGAUGUUUGGAGUGAGAGCUAAUUCAACUUUUAUGAGCAUGUGAUAUGAGGUUACAUUAUAGGUCAUUUUUGACCUAUACCAUUGAAUAAGUGAUUUUUCCAAACUUAAAAAAUGCAUAACUAUAUCAUUCUAAACCCAAAUGACAUUAUAUUGGUGACCAUUUUGAAGGUCUUUGAAAGAUCUACAAGUUUUAUGAAGACAUUUUUCUCAUUUGAAGCUCACAUAAAAAGUUAAGCAAGGUGGAAUAUUUAGCUAUAUGGCUUGACACUUAGAAAAAAUUUCAACAUGUUGAAAUUUCCAAACUUCCACCUCAAAAUUCUCCAUGUUCCAAGAUCCAAAUGAAAAAGUGUUGAACGUCAAACUUGUUCCCCUUUAUCCAAGCUUUUCAAAGAACCCAAGUUCAUGCGCUUUGAAUGAGGUUCGUUAGGUCUGCGCAUGGCUUUAACAAAGCUGCAUCUUUGGAAAGAAUCAAGCUUCAAAACUUCAGUUCCCUUUGCCUUGCCAAUCAAGCUUCCAUUCAGACUUCAUUUGGAAUGAUUCUGGACCUUUUUGCAUUGCAUCAUGGGCCUGCACAUGCCCAUGCACUCGUGCCAUCAACAUUGCUAAAUUUGGACAAAAUUUGAAGUGUGCAAAUAUCAUUCAUUCAUGCUAUAAAUACAUGACCUUUGUGCUCAUUUGAAUCACACCUUGUGCAUCAGUUUUCCCCCCAUUGAAACCCUCUCAUUCCAAAGGAAAACCUGAUAAAUUUCAGUUUGAAAUUUGAGUUUGAAUCACAAUUGUUGGAGAUUCAGAAAAUCCAGGAUCCAAAGCCUUGCAACCUCAUCAAUCACUUCCUGCUAGCUUCUCAAGUGUGAUCAGAUCGUGUUUGGAGAAAGCAACAUCAAGAACUGCAUAUCAUUGAAGGUAAUUUUCAGAAAACUUCAUCUCUUCGAUUCUCUCUCAAUUCUACUCAAUUCUCUUGGAUCUUUGGUUCUCUGAAAUCCUAUCAAUGUAGGCAAGAAGAUUGAGUUGCUUAGAGGUCAAAUCGAAGUAACUCAGUUGACACACCUCAAAAUUCAACUCCUCAUAUCUUUCUAUAUAUGUGAAGUUAGUUAAAGUUAAGGUCAGAUUCGUGCUCUACGCCAUUUUUUCUUUCAGAUCAUGUCCUCCUUUUUUAUUUUAGUGAUGGUUGAGGGUGGACCAGUCCGGUGAGGUCCACCGGAGAAGAAGACCGGAGCUACAGCUCCGGCCGUACAUUGGCACGUCUUCCAGCCACAUGAUCUUGUCAUUUUGUUUUAAUCUGAGGCGUUGGGUUUGACUACCACGCGUGUGACGCGCUGACUAGGUUCCAUCUUGGAACGCGCGUUCUAGUCCACUUGAUCUGCCACCUCAGUUAAUGAGGGAGAUCAAGUGGCUCACGCUUUUUGCUAUUUUCUGAUUUUCAUUUUAAUCCUUUUAUUUUCAUUAAUUCAUAUUAAUUUUAGUAUUGAUCAAAAAAAUAUGAGAGUUUCACAAAAAAAAUUUAAAUAAUUUCCUCUUUCAUAUUCUGAAUUAAAAUUAUUUUUUGGAUCAUUAUUAAUAUUUUUCAAGAUUUAAUUGAUUUUGUGAUUAUUUUUAAUUGUUUAAAAUUACUUUUAAGUCUUUAAAAAUUCUUAAAUUUUUUCUCCAAGGUCCUUUAACCUUGUUUGACCUAUGAUAAAUCUCAUGGCCAUUUCUUUGGUGUUUUGAUGAGAUUUUAGGAAUUUGACAAACCAUAUUUAAUGUAAAUGCCUUAUUUUAGUAUUUUUAAUUUGAAUAAAUGCCAAAUAAUUUUGUUGACCAAUUGUGAUAACUUGUUUGAGUUUGACUCUUGUUGUUGGGCCUUAGUCAAGGUUGAUUUGACUUUGUCAAGUUAAUAUCCCAAAAUGAAUGGAUGAUAUUAGUUUGGUAAAGGUCCUCCUUUGAUCAAUUUGAGUUUUGAUCCAUUCCCCUCCCUCUUCAUCUCAUUCCCCUUCUUUAUGCAUUCAUCUCAUUUGGCCUAUGAUAUCUCAAAGUCCUAAAGCUAGUUGAUAUCUCAUUCCCCUUCUUUAUGCAUUCAUCUCAUUUGGCCUAUGAUAUCUCAAAGUCCUAAAGCUAGUUGAUUGAAAAAUUAACAUGAGUAUGGAUGAGAUUAGGCCACCUCUUUUGCAUAUUUCUUUAGUGUGUGGUAUGUUUCAUGAGCAUAGUCCAUUAUAAUAUGUCUCUAACAUGCAUUAACACCAAAAUUCUAUUGCCCGCCUCAAAUAGUUGUGACUUCUACAUAAGCCCAAUUACGAUUGCUUAACACAACGCUAAAUUUGUAACACAAAAGGCAUAACAUUCUAGUUAGUGAGAUUGUAAGUCUCCCCUCUUUCAUGGUAUUGUGUGGAAACUUUGCCUUUUUUUCCUUCCUUUGGAAGAUGCCUUAGCUCAAGGAUCCAUGCUUGUGAUAAAUGGGUUGAGUGUUCUCCAAAGAAUGUCUAAAAAAAUGAAAAGCAAAAGCAAAACAAUACUAACUUCUAAGUCAUUAACAACUAACUUUUAAUUUCAAGUCAUUUACUUUAAUGUCAUUUAAUUUUAGCCUUUAUUCAUUUGCCAUUAUUCAUACCAUUCUAAUUGUUUAUGUUAAUGCAAUUUUUACUUUUUCCACUUGGACCAUAUUGUGUGAUACAUCUUGUUUGUGUAUACUUUGCUUGUUUGUGAGGUCUUUGACCAUUAAUGUACGUAACAACAACAAAAACCCUAAAAAACUUUUGUGUGGACUGUUGGCUUGAUCUUGGACAAAUGGACUUAGAACUUAGGCAACAUUCCUAUGCUAAAGGACUUGGCCAAUGCCAACUUUCUGUGAAACCAAGUGCUUGCAAUUUGAAACUUCAUCUGAUACAUCAUUCAAGAUCCCUCUGAGUUCAUCUGCAACAUGAUCAUUGUGAAGUUGUUAUUGUGAACCUGUGACUUGUGGAAUCCAUCUGUUACAUGGGCUAAUCUGAAGAAGAUCAUGGAGUGGCUAAAUAUUGAAAGUGACUAUCUUUAUUUGAUGCCUUUGCUCUUUAAGAUAAUAUAAUUGUGCAUUUUUGUGUUUCUUGAUUCUAAAUGUCCAAGGGAAUUUUGGGUUUCUAUUGACAUUCUUGUCUAUGGGAUUACUACCCAUUUGGUCAGAUCUUUUCAACUCUCAACUUUUAAUUUUUGUGCAUAGGAUUAGUCUCUUCAUAUUCUCCUCAUUUCUUUAAUUUCAAAAUCUCUCCCUCCCCUUUCAAAAAUCUUCUUUGAUUGAACUUAUUUUGUUCUAAGCUUUGACCACUUUGCAAAAAGAUAGAAACUUUGGCCUUAUGCCAUUGUAUUUUCAAACUUCUUUUCUUAAAUCAAACUUGUAAAUAAACUUAACUAUACUUGACUUAAACUUUCAAAAAGCCAAAAAUUUCUUAAAUCAAACUUGUAAAUAAACUUAACUAUACUUGACUUAAACUUUCAAAAAGCCAAAAAGAACUAACUCAUUCAAACCAUUUUUAGGCCUUUGUACCUUUCAAACUUAAUUUUUGUUAAAAAACAAUGCAUCCACUUUGAAAUUUGUAUCACGAACUACGAGGUUUUGAUCCCUCAUUUUUAUGUUGGUACGUAGGCACAAGUCCGAAGAUCUUAUCAAACACAAAAAUAUAAUUAAUGAAUCUUUUCUCAUCCCCCCCAUUCUAUUUGUUUGUAAACAUCAUUUUUAUACCAAAUACAUAUGCACACAAAAAGGGCUCCCUAGGAGUACCUAUGACACUUUGGGUGCUAACACCUUCCCUCUGUGUAACCAACCCCCUUACCUAUAAUCUCUGAUAUUUUAUUAGUUUUGAUUUAAAAACUUCUUACUUUUGGGUUUUGUUCGUACUUUUUUCCUUUUCCAUUGGAAACAAUAAAAGCGCGGUGGCGACUCUUGUUAUUUGAUGUCUAACUUAUCCAUAGCUUGAUGAUCAUGAAUUUAUCACUACAGGUCAAAUGGCCCAGGAUGAUAAGAAUGCGACCUAAAGAGUAGUCGAAAAAUUAAAAUGAGCAUGCCAGAUUAAACUACAUGAACUAUAGAUUAAAAAUACUAACAUCUCCAAGCUCGAUUUUGAAAUUUUCCCCCCGUUAAUUUGACGCGAUUAAACUACACGAAUCGUUGAUUUCUGUAGUUCCAGAAAUUUAUUCUGCUUGAUAUUUUAAACAUUAUGCGUAAUGAAAUGAAUGUUGUGAUGAAUAAAUGAUACAGAUGACUUAUGAGUGCAUUGGUUUAAUGACUGAAGAAAAAUAAAUAGAUAAUCAUAUGCAAAUGAGUCACUCUAUGACCAUUUGCUUCUAAUUCUCAAACACAAUUAAACCCCACAAAGAUUCAGAUGAUGACAAUACUCUUGAUUGUCACCUUCUGAACCUAUGAAACAUGAUGUGAUGGAAUGGACGAUGCACUAAGACUAGGAAAUCAAGUCUUGACUUCUUAAUCAAUAGAUGACUGAAUGAAUAUCAUCAAGACCAAAUAAAAUUCCAGAACUUCUGACCUUUCAUCUAAACCUUGAUGAAUGCUUCUGACUGAUGUAAUGUAUGAUAAAAUGAUAUGAUUGUGUUUGCUGAUGCAGGUAAAAUACUUAGGGUAAAAUUUAGGAUAUGACACCAAGGUUUGUCCUGGUUUAGGGUAGGCAUCUUUGGACUCCACCGCCUACGCUCUUUGAGCGACUAGUUCCUAAGAGAGGGUGCACCAGCUACGCUUGAAGCAUGUUCACCAAGUGUUAAAUCUGCCUUAGAAGAAUAACUAACACGAUCAUGCAAAGGGUUACAAAACCCCUUAUUUUUGCAAUAUUUCUAAUAGUUAGUCAAUUUAGUAUUGAAAUUGGGAAAAGCAUUACGAAGUACCUAUCUCAUAGAGAAAGUCGUAAUGGAGGUGCAUUAUACUUCUCUUUUAAUCACUCUUCAGGUGAAUGCACUGUCGGGGAUGUCACAAUGGAGGGGUCUAUCGGUCGACCUCACUUUACAGGGAUAUGUAUCUUUGGUUUCGCGGAUGCAGUCCUCCUCUUUAGAUGCCCGACAAACAUGCCUUGUUCGAGGGGCGAUAUAUGGCGUAAAAUGUCUUUAUGGAUCCUUUGCCUGUCCAUGACCGUAGUGGUCAGACGAUCUCUAGAUAAUUGCACUUAGCCAACUCUUACGAACGAUUGACUGAGUUAUUUUUCCCUUCCGUCUCUUUGCUUUAGGGUUGACGUUGGCCUCUAGAGAUCCUCGAAGUUCAGUCAAUGGUGUGCUUGAAAAGAGGUUCAAAAUUUCCUUCAUAGAUCCGACUAGAUUAGCUCAAUAUGGUUUAUUUCGAAAAAUGUUGUUAGAAGUGAUUAGGUUUCGUGAAGGCGACUUCCUUAAUAUGCUUCUUCUCGUCCAAUAUGGAUUGAUUAUAGUUUUCUUUCCUGCUAGAAUAUUUCCAAGCAAAAUUGGUUAGGAAGCUUAACUGGCCAGGACAGACUUAACGAGGAUGUCUUCGAUGGCGCCUCCGCGUCGAACUAUUAGAAAACUAUGCAUGCCUUUCUCUCACCCAUUCUUUCCCAAUCAUCGGUGUUAUACUUUUUUUCCACAAGGUUGAAUUAUAUAAUUGUCGAAGGUCAAUGGAACUCUGCCAUCGUAUGCGCUCAGAUCUGACUGGCGGAUAUUUGAUUGCUCAAUUGCGCCAGAUCAUAAGUUGUUAUGGUCAUUCUGUCGUCUAUGAUAGAUCUGAUAGGUCCUUUUCUAGUGAAACUGACGAUGAUACCUAUAGGAGACUCCUAAUUAGAGGUUUUACUUGUCUUCUCAUACCUUAGGCAUCUUAACGCCACUUGAUGCUCGCCUUGCGGUUUAGUCUUAAUUGCUGCUAGAAAAAAGUGCUCCAAUGUCAGAUCAUCGCCGAAUUUUACAAUGUUAUGGAUUUCAACGAUGAUGGUAAAUUAAGAUGGAGAAAAAUAUGAAUAUUUAAUCGAUCUCCUAAUCGAGAAGUACAAGUUAACUAUCUUCUUAUCUCUCAUCUAGUAGAGUUUUGACUUUAGAUUGAUGAUGGUGUAUCCGUGGGAUUUCGCGGGAAUUAGGAGUCAAUUCCCACAUACGGUGCCACUGUUCCAUUUGAGAACCAAAAUUGGUGUAUAACGAUGAUGAGGAACCAAUGGCAUUGAUCUUCAAUGUGGCGGCACAGGAUGGACUAGCAAGGUUGCACUUCAACGCCCAACUAUGUUCAAAAUUCAAGAUGAAUGUAGUAAAAAUGGAGAUUAGAAAAAUAUACCUUGAAUCUCACAUAUCAUGGCCUUCAUACGCUGAGUCAUUUUGAAUUGAUUUGUAUUGGAUUGAACCUUGAUAUUUUGGACUUUGACCGGCCCAAACCAAAUUUCUCAAGUUCUUUAAUCUUACUUUGGUAUUAUGUGCAUUGAAAAUUUAUUUAAAUAAAAAAAAAAAAAAUCUUUUUUAAAGGUUUUAUAAUCAUAAUUUUGUCUCAAUUAAAUUUUUUAAUUUUUAAUUUAUUAGAUCGAUCUAACUAAUGACUCAUCGGAUCUUAAAACAUUAAAUAUUAAAUAUUAGUGAACAAAAAGAUACUUACAUCAAUAAGUUGUGGUGGCCCACAUGCUAAACUUUAGGUAGUUUAGGUAGUUGCUUCAUUGAGGUCUUUGGUUCAAAAUCCGAGUGACAACUUUUAAAUUUUGAUAAUUUUAAUUAAUUAUUUUUUAUUAAAAAAUUUAAGUAAUUUGAAAGAAUCUCUUCAUUAAAAAAAUAUUAAAGCCAUUGGCUUCUAGAAUAAAAACAAAUAAUUAAAUUUUUUUAAUAAUUUCUUUUAUAUAAAUUGGAUAUUCUCUGUGCAUAAUUACAUAAGUUAAUCAUUGGAUAUGACUCUCCUUAAAAAAAUUUAACACUUCAGCAUAGUAAAUCUUAGUAAUUUAAUUUAAAUUACUAUUUGUUUUUAUUUGUGUUUUAUUUAUUUUUUAAAUAUAACAAUUUAUAUUAUUGGUUAAAAUAAAAAAUAUUAGGUAAUAAUUUUCUUAAUAAUUUUAAUUUAUUUUAUUCACUUAUUUCAUUAUAAAUAUAAUAAUUAAUAUUUUUAUUAAAAUAAAUAAUAAUUUAAGUUUUGUGAAAUUUCAAUUGUAUAAUUUAAUCAAUAUUAUAUCAUAAAUUCAAUUGUCAUGUCUUAAAAAUGACAUUAAAAUUGAACUGAAUAUUAAAAUUUCAAAAAUAUUGAAAUAGAGAACCAAAACUCAAGUUCUUAAAAUAUGAAGUUUUAAAUAAAUAAAAAAUAGGGGAAUUUAAAUUAUGUUUAAAUUUAAAUUUUAUGAAAAGAAAAGUUGGAUUAUAUAUAUCUAAAAAAUUCAAUGAAUCAUAAAAAAAUAUUAAAAGAAGUUUCUAAGGUAUUGUGUGCUAGCAUCCAACUAAAGAUGAAAUCCCAUAUUUAAUCAUAAUUUUGUUCAAACCCGUGUGCGAAAAACCCUUAUCUUGAGAAAACCGAACCAACAAGUUCUGAUACGCAACCCAACGAAACACUACAUAAAUCACUUUGAAUAAAUCAAAUUCAGAAUAAGCAUUUUUUCCAUAACAAGAAAAAAUGGGGUUGUUAGAUCUGGAAAAGCACUUUGCUUUCUAUGGCUCUUAUCACAGCAACCCAAUUAACAUCAUAAUUCACAUAUUAUUUGUUUGGCCUAUCGUCUUCACCUCUCUUAUUCUUCUUUACUUCACCCCUCCCCUUUUUUCUCCUUCCCAAACACUCCUUAACUUUAUUCCCCAUGUCUUGAUUUUCAACAUCGGUUUCUUCCUUACCGUUUUCUAUGCUCUCUUCUACGUUGCCUUGGAUGUUAAAGCUGGUUCCUUUGUUGCUGUUCUUACUUUUCUUUGCUGGGUUUCUUCGAGUUUCGUCGCUAAUUCCUUGGGCUUCGAACUCGCUUGGAAGGUACUUGAUUCGAGUUUUUCUGUUUGCUUCUUUUGUUAAGUUUUGUAACUGUUGUUAAUGAAAUUAGUUUCUGAAUCUGAAUGCUUAUGUUUUUGUUUACUUUUUAUUUUUUGACUUAAUUAUUUAUUUACAUGAGUAUGAUAAUCUAUGAUGUCUCAGGUUGGCUUGGCUGGUCAAUUGUUUUGUUGGACGGGACAGUUUAUUGGCCACGGUGUAUUUGAGGUAAAUCAUUCUUUCAUCUCUAAAAAGCAAAUAUUUUUGUGAAUUAACCAGGUUUAUUAUAAUCGGCACUUUCCGAGAUCUUGUUGUGGUGCCGGUUUUGCCGGAAUGGACCAUUUUGUUAAUUAUACAUUUUUCACAAUUCACUUAUGUUGUAUCAAUUUUAUGUCAGAAACGUGCACCAGCCCUAUUGGACAACCUUGCUCAAGCUUUUCUAAUGGCUCCUUUCUUUGUAGUUCUUGAGGUAGUUUAUUUUGUUUCUAAUAGUACUUUUGUUGGAUAUGUCUCAUAUUUAUUGAUAAAGGAACUUUAAGGAGUACAUUGUUUUUGUUUUUUUUAUAGUAUUUAUAUUCUCUUGAAUGGGGUUGCUUUUCUAAUAGUUCUGGACCGGUUUCUUUCAAAAAUUAAAAUGAAGUUUAUUAUGUUAAUUUGUUUUUGUAGAUUCUCCAAACGACUAUUGGAUAUGAACCAUAUCCUGGAUUUGAGACAAAGGUGAAAGCAAGGGUAGAUGCUAAUAUCAAAGAAUGGAAGGACAAGCAGCAAAAGAAAGUUUCUUAACUUGAAAAAUUUGUUUGCAGAUGUUGUUGUGAUAGAUAUUUCUGUCAUAAGAAAUAAAAAUUUACAGAAGGUUAGAUAAGAUUAAUGUUGUUUAUGUGUUUUGGGAUAGUGUUGGAAAUUGUUUGGAGUAUAUAUUUUGGAAUGAAAUUAUCAAUUUGUUGUAGUAUUAUUUUCUCUUGUACACGCUUGUUUUGUGAAAAUAAAGAAGGAAAAAAAUAAAUGGAUGCGGGACCCGUGAUAGAAACUUGCAUCGAUGCAGUCGUGAUAAAGGCAACAACUAGUACAAGCAAAACAAGACACGGUUGCUCAAAACACAAGACCAUGAGAAUACUUUCACACGCCAGGCCUGUCACACUUGCUUUUCCGUGGUAUCAUUCGAUGAAUUUAUUCUAGUCCAUAAAUAUCAUCACAUUUAUUAUCUGGAGUAUAGUCUUUUAGUAAAUCCAUUCACAUCCUAAAUUCAAUAGGAGUAAUAUUAACACCAGAUUGUUUUUUAGCUUAAGACUUAAAAAUAGAUUUUUAUUUUUAUUUUUGAAAAUAGAUUCUCCAAAAAUAUUUUUCAAAAUAUUAUAAAUUUUUUAAAAUUUAUUUUUUAUAAAUAAGAAAAAUUAAUUUUAAGAAAAUGAGUGUUUUGCUAGGGUAAACUAGUGAUGGUCAUCAGACUCCAAGUGAAGAAGAGGAUUAAAAGGCUCGGAGUACCAAACGGGUGAAAGGAGUGAAGAAUGUGCAUGAGAACCAUAUGCAAUUUGUUGUUCGAUACAGCUUGUGGUUUAACCAAGGAGCAAUAAAUAGAAGUCAGACACCCAUCUCUUACAAGGAAUGGGUCACAGGAAAAUGUUUAUAGAAAAAACGAAUCAAACAAAGGAGCAGCUGGUGUGGAAGAGGAAGUUGUUGAUUCCUUCGGAGAAUUGAAUAUUGGAGAAUAUAAGUUUGGAGACUAUGAAUAUCCUGAAAUAAUUCCCUCAAAGAAGGAAGAAUAAAGAAUUGAUGGAUCCUGGAAAAAAUAUUAUCGUGAAGAUGUUGGGGAUGAGAAUAAAGUAUAAAGCCUUAGAGAAUCGUCUGAACCAAAUGUCAGCAAGAGAAAGAGUGCUCAACAUCGUGGAUCUAGCACAAGAUUAUUAUUUAGUGACAUUCACUAAUGAAGAGGAUUAAUAUGUUGCGUUAAUGGAUGGUCAUUGGAUAAUAUAUGACCAUUACUUAUCAAUUAAGAAAUAAUGCCCAAACUUUUACCCAGCUAGCGAUGCCAUAAAACAAGUUGUUGUAUGGGAUCGUGUCUCAGGGUUACCUAUAGAUUACUAUGGUGCAAGAGUUCUAUCUUUUAUUGGAAAUCACAUAUGCUCUUUAGUUAAGUUAGAUAGGAAGACACUGAACAUGGAAAGAGGAAAACAUGCAAGGCUUUGGGUUCAAAUUGACUUAACCAAGCCUUUACUAGCAAUGUUUUCCAUUAAAGGGAGGCAUUAUAAGGUAGAAUAUGAAGGAGUGCAUAUCAUCUGUCUCAAUUGUGGACGUUUUGAUGUACACGAGGCGUUGCAUCCUGAAGAAGAAAACUCAGACAUUGGUGUUGUUCAGGAAACCCCUAACCAAGGCCAUGGACUUGGAACAAAACUCUAAUUUGUUUUUAUGGUGAUUACAAAUUUUAAUAUUCUUUUAUAGAAGAGUAGAGGGGUGAUGUAACUUCCUAAACCCGACCCCAUUGAUUUAUUUAUGAAAAUAAAACAUAUAAGUUACACAACAUCGGUGUCACACAUGCAUAACAUACAUCUUUCUCCAAAUAUAACAUAUAGUAAAUAGCAACAGAACAUCAAAAACUUUAGAGAAAAAUGUAUUAUGUCUAAACAUAAGUGCUUAAUGAAAUAAAUCAAAGAUAAAAAAAACAUAACAUGUAACAAAGCAA